GCUGGAUCCCCUCCUUUCUAAGGAUUUUCACGAAAGCGCCGGCGCUAGCCGCUGGAAGAGCUUCGUGAUCUCCAAAGAACAUUGCCGUCGUCCUCAUGUCCUUUCAUCACUGGAGAUCAGCGUGAAUUCGCGCCACUUGUGCGGUCGUCUUCGCUGCUGUUGCCUGAGCUGGCUUGCGCGGCUAUCGGCCCUUUCGGCCGGUUUCGGCUUGUGUGGGCCUGUAGCUCAGUUGGUUAGAGCGCACCCCUGAUAAGGGUGAGGUCAGAAGUUCAAAUCUUCUCAGGCCCACCAUUCUUGUCUGGUUACGGGGCCUUAGCUCAGCUGGGAGAGCACCUGCUUUGCAAGCAGGGGGUCAUCGGUUCGAUCCCGAUAGGCUCCACCAGGCAAUAACCUCCAGAGAUGAGGAAAACAGAUCCCGCGCUUGGCGGGUAGGCGGCUCAGGCCGCUGUCUUUGACAUUGUGAAUGGGUUUUAUAAUCGAUGCCGCGGUGCAUUGAAUCAUCGAUCGCAAGAUCGUUGUUCAUGCGCUGCAACAUUAAUCAGAUGUACUAUCUGGCUGAGAUUAUUCUUUCCGCACCAUCGUUAAGGCGCACGGGCUUUUAUGCAGGCCUGUCGUUGAUGGUGUGGAUUCUCAAGCGUGAGGUAAGAGCAUUUGGUGGAUGCCUUGGCGUAUACAGGCGAUGAAGGACGUGGCACGCUGCGAUAAGCGUGGGGGAGCCGUGAGCAGGCUUUGAUCCCGCGAUUUCCGAAUGGGGAAACCCGGAAGC
rnacentral:misc_RNA from 1 species